rnacentral:tRNA from 1 species
GCAUUGACUCAGCCAGUAGAGCAUGAGACUCUGGAUCUCAGGGUUGUGGGUUCGUGCCCCACAUUGGACA